CGUUUUUGUGUUAUUCGCUGAAUGCCCAUCUUGGCCUAGUGAUUGUCAAACAGAACGCACAUUGAAGACCAGGCAUCUGCUCUCACUCCACAAUGUUGUGUCCAUUAUAUCCGG
rnacentral:snoRNA from 1 species